UACGAAGGGGGCUAGCGUUGCUCGGAAUGACUGGGCGUAAAGGGCGCGUAGGCGGACGGCUUUGUCGGGCGUGAAAUUCCAGGGCUUAACCUUGGGGGUGCGUUCGAGAUGGGUUGUCUUGAGUGGGGAAGAGGGUCGUGGAAUUCCCAGUGUGAGAGGUGAAAUUCGUAGAUAUUGGGAAGAACACCGGUGGCGAAGGCGGGUCUCUGGGCCGAUGACUGACGCUGAGGAGCGAAAGCGUGGGGAGCGAACAGG
rnacentral:rRNA from 1 species